rnacentral:rRNA from 1 species
CCUACGGGUGGCAGCAGUGGGGAAUAUUGCGCAAUGGGCGUGAGAGUGACGCAGCGACGCCGCGUGAAGGACGAAGGCCUUCGGGGCGUAAAGCUCUUUCGACAGGGAAGAAAAUGCCGAUAAGUAACUGUGUAUGUAUUGACGGUACCUGUAUAAGCAGCCCCGGCUAACUCCGUGCCAGCAGCCGCGGUAAUACGGAGGGGGCGAGCGUUGAUCGGAUUGACUGGGCGUAAAGGGCACGUAGGUGGUGUUGUAAGUCAGUAGUCAAAGACUAGAGCUCAACUUUAGUAAGGCUAGUGAUACUAUCAGUCUAGAGUAUCAGAGAGGAAUGCAGAAUUCGUGGUGUAGCGGUGAAAUGCGUAGAUAUCAGGAGGAAUACCGUUUGCGAAGGCGGCAAUCUGGCUGGACACUGACGCUGAGGUGCGAAAGCGUGGGUAGCAAACAGGAUUAGAUACCCUGGUAGUC